rnacentral:rRNA from 1 species
AUUGAACGCUGGCGGCAUGCCUUACACAUGCAAGUCGAACGGUAACAGGUCUUCGGAUGCUGACGAGUGGCGAACGGGUGAGUAAUACAUCGGAACGUGCCCAGACGUGGGGGAUAACGAGGCGAAAGCUUUGCUAAUACCGCAUACGAUCUAAGGAUGAGAGCAGGGGACCGCAAGGCCUUGCGCGGUCGGAGCGGCCGAUGGCAGAUUAGGUAGUUGGUGGGAUAAAAGCUUACCAAGCCGACGAUCUGUAGCUGGUCUGAGAGGACGACCAGCCACACUGGGACUGAGACACGGCCCAGACUCCUACGGGAGGCAGCAGUGGGGAAUUUUGGACAAUGGGCGAAAGCCUGAUCCAGCAAUGCCGCGUGCAGGAUGAAGGCCUUCGGGUUGUAAACUGCUUUUGUACGGAACGAAAAGGCUCUGGCUAAUACCUGGGGCACAUGACGGUACCGGAAGAAUAAGCACCGGCUAACUACGUG